UGGCGAUAUUGAGCUACAGUACAAGACUCGUAGGAAGGACCUCUUUAAUCUGUGUUCACUGAUUAUUUUGAGUGCUAAAGACGGUUUUAGAAUUCUUGAAGGAGGGGUAAAAUCCGUUGAUAUAGGAAGACUUUCGAUGGCGAAGGCAUUUACCGAUUUGGUUCUGACGCUAGGUACUAAAGCUUGGGUAGAAAGAGGAUUAGAGACCUCGUAGUCCAUGCCUUAAACAAUGAGUGUUCAACGUCUUAUAAUACUCUGGACCACCUUGCAGUGGUAUCCUUUGAGGAUUAUUGGGGGUUUGAAGUUACGGCGCGAAACACU
rnacentral:rRNA from 1 species